rnacentral:lncRNA from 1 species
CGAUCUCGAGUUGAGUUUGGAGCCCAAAUAUUUUGAAUCGAGUUAAGCUCGAACUUUCAGGUACUCGAUUCGGCUCGGCUCGAUUACACUCCUAAUUGGGACUCUAGGAGGCUGCAGAGGUACAGCAAUGGUGAGAGAGGUGGAGCUCCACUUCAAUUGGAGCCUUAUAAUCGAGAGAAAAGAGAAUGCUAAAAGAGAGAGAGGGAAGGAGAGGAAGGAAAGAAAGGGCAACUUAUAGGUGAUCGAGAUGGAGCAUGCGAACAAUGUUGAUGACAUCAAAGUCCUCGAAAGGCCAUACAGGUGGGCCAGGGGGGAUGGAAUGCUCUUGCCCUCUCAAAACAAAGCAAGCAACGAUAGGAUGGGGGGCACUCUUUCGAGUCAUCAUGAGAGAUUG